rnacentral:rRNA from 1 species
UACGUAGGGUGCGAGCGUUGUCCGGAAUUAUUGGGCGUAAAGAGCUCGUAGGCGGUCUGUCGCGUCGGCUGUGAAAACACGGGGCUCAACUCCGUGCCUGCAGUCGAUACGGGCAGACUAGAGUUCGGUAGGGGAGACUGGAAUUCCUGGUGUAGCGGUGGAAUGCGCAGAUAUCAGGAGGAACACCGGUGGCGAAGGCGGUUCUCUGGGCAUUACCUGACGCUGAGGAGCGAAAGCAUGGGGAGCGAACAGG